GUUAUAAGUAACCCAUGAAGACAAUCAGUCUUCUCUGGCAGUCCCUAAUUGUAGUGAAUGUUGGAAUACAGUGACCACACAAAUGCUCCAGACUGAUUGCGAAGGUGCCACUUCUAAAUCAGCUGGGCAAGUGCAUUGCAUAAGCUGAGUAUUUAGCUUAAUGAUUGGAGCCAGUUGAUGAAACACAAGAAUCUGGAAGCCUCCUGCUACUUCUCAGAAGAUAAGACAAUGGCAUUCCAUCACCAGUGUUUACUGUGGUACCCAAAGGGAGCUCCAGUUACUUUCCUCUGUGCCUAUAACCCUUGGAUCACCUGGUUGCACCAGACCCAUCCUGACUAAAAUCCCUCCAAAGGACCAAAGAGGGGAUAGGGACAAAAAUAAAAAAUAAAUCUCAUCUGCUCUCUUUCCUAAGGACCCAGCAGCCUCUAUCCAUCCAUCGUUCAUUCACUCAUUCCACACACUUUCAUCUAGCCCCUGCUGAAUGCCAAGCACUGGGCUGGAACUCUG
rnacentral:lncRNA from 10 species